rnacentral:rRNA from 1 species
CGCAUCUGUGCAUGCAGCAUAUCAAUAAGCGGAGGAAAAGAAACUAACAAGGAUUCCCUUAGUAACGGCGAGUGAAGCGGGAAGAGCUCAAAUUUGAAAUCUUCAAGGUUUUACCUUGACGAAUUGUAGUUUAAAGAAGUGUUUUCUGUUGAAGUUUUGGUAAAAGUUCUUUGGAAUAGGACAUCAUAGAGGGUGAGAAUCCCGUAUUUGACCAUUAUUUUCAGCUGUGUGAUACACUUUCAAAGAGUCGGAUUGUUUGGGAAUGCAGUCCAAAAUGGGUGGUAAAUUUCAUCUAAAGCUAAAUAUUGGCGAGAGACCGAUAGCGAACAAGUACCGUGAGGGAAAGAUGAAAAGAACUUUGAAAAGAGAGUUAAACAGUACGUGAAAUUGUCAAAAGGGAAGCGUUUGACACCAGUGUUGUUUUCUCGAAAAUCAAUUAAGAAGAGUUAGAUUUUGUUGUGUAUUGACCUUAACAGCUUGCAUUUCAAUUUUCUUGCUUUUUUUAAUGCACUUUUCGUUUAACAAGUCAACAUCAGUUUCUUUUGUUGUAAAAAGGUCAUUGGAAGGUGGCUUUCUUUUCGGAGAAAGUGUUUAUAGCCUUUGACUCCUGCAAUCGGAGAGACUGAGGUCUGCAGCGUAGAUCCUUCGGGGUUAGAUACAUUUGUGCUAAGUUAUAGCUUUUUAUAGACAACUUGUUGACUAUGAUUAGUCUUGUAGCUUACUCGCUUAUGCUAUUUUACCUACGCUUAGGAUGUUGAUGUGAUACUGCGAGCA